UACGGAGGGUGCAAGCGUUAUCCGGAUUCACUGGGUUUAAAGGGUGCGUAGGUGGGUUGGUAAGUCAGUGGUGAAAUCCCCGAGCUUAACUUGGGAACUGCCAUUGAUACUAUCAGUCUUGAAUACCGUGGAGGUCAGCGGAAUAUGUCAUGUAGCGGUGAAAUGCUUAGAUAUGACGCAGAACACCAAUUGCGAAGGCAGCUUGCUACACUGUUAUUGACACUGAGGCACGAAAGCGUGGGGAGCGAACAGG
rnacentral:rRNA from 1 species